UUACAUCUACAAGUGUUUCUCUUGUGCAAUAAAUCUCAAUCUCUAGUGACUAUGAAGCCUGCCUCAAUGUGUGAAGUGGAAAACUCAGACAAUGCCUGCUGGGCCCAACAUCAGCACACAGCAUACCCAAGAAGCUAUUGGGAUACACCUGCCACAGCACCUUGCUUCGACUCCCAUAACUACCCCACCUCAGCAUUGUGGUGUUUCACACCACUGCAACCACUGUGAUCUAGACUUUCCCAUUAUCAUCAUUACGUUUAUACGCCACCUUUCCUCCCAGGAGCUCAGGGUGGAGCACACAGUUCACUCCCUUCUCCGUUUUAUCCUCACAACAACCUUGUGAGGGAGAUUAGGCUGAGAGAGUGUGACUGCCCCAAGGUCACCUAGUGUCACGAGAACAAUUCUGUUCCUUUAAUACUCAAUCAACUGCUGAAGAUAUUUAGCAUGUAAGUCAUAUGACCUCAAUAAUGAUACUUAUCCUUUUUAUUUCACUUACCCUAAGUGCUCACAUGCAACCUCUACAGCAGCUUUAUAAGGUAGGUUUGGUUCAUUUCGCCAAUACAGUAUAACAGGAGGCGAGAAUGAGGGAGAUAACACUUGUCUAAGUGUCUAGAAAGCAUGAGUCUGACCAGAUUUCC
rnacentral:lncRNA from 1 species